CUGGCUCAGGAUGAACGCUGGCGGCGUGCUUAACACAUGCAAGUCGAACGAAGCAACUUCUGCUGCAAGAAGUUGACUUAGUGGCGGACGGGUGAGUAACGCGUGGGUAACCUGCCUCAGUACAGGGGGGAUAACAGUUGGAAACGACUGCUAAGACCGCAUAACCCGCUAGUGUCGCAUGACACGGACGGAAAAUAUUUAUAGGUAUGAGAUGGGCCCGCGUCUGAUUAGCUAGUUGGUAAGGUAACGGCUUACCAAGGCGACGAUCAGUAGCCGACUUGAGAGAGUGAUCGGCCACAUUGGGACUGAGACACGGCCCAAACUCCUACGGGAGGCAGCAGUGGGGAAUAUUGGACAAUGGGGGAAACCCUGAUCCAAGCGACGCCGCGUGAGUGAAGAAGUAUUUCGGUAUGUAAAGCUCUAUCAGCAGGGAAGAUAAUGACAGUACCUGACGAAGAAGCCCCGGCUAACUACGUGCCAGCCGCUGC
rnacentral:rRNA from 1 species